rnacentral:lncRNA from 1 species
AGCCGUCGCCUGAGCCGUGGCGCGCGGGUGGCCGAAAGGCGAAAGUGAGAUUUCAAGGGCCGGGUCUGGGGCCCCGCGGGCGCGCAGUGCUGCGGCGUGUGGGGAGUACGGGGAGGCUGGAGAGGAGCCGGCCCCGGGCAGUGUGAGGUGCGGAAGCGCGGUCCAGACACUUUGCUGACGGGAGGCCGGUCCGCCAGAUCCGGGAGAUAAGAAACAGAGGCAAAUGCAGGUUAAGGAACCUCACAGUAAGGGAUAAAACUCAUAUUUUAACCUGAUCUGCCUGAUUCUGGAGCCUGCACCAUCAUUCCAUUGUCGUGCUUGCCACAUGGAGAAUGAUAAGGGGAGAGAGUAAGAAAGCAAUGAGAUACACAUGUCUUGACUGCUUCUCUUCAUGCUGAAAUCCUGGGGGAAAGAAGUGCUAAAUCAGUUGAGGACAUGGGAACAUUUAUUCUGGAAGAAAUUUGGGUACAGAGACAGACAAGCACCAAGAGAAGAUGAUGUGAAGAAGCACAGCGAGAACACCAUGUGAAAAUGGAGGACUGGAAUGAAGCAUCUACAAGCCAGGAAAUGUCUGAGGCUACCAGAAGCCAGGAGAGAGGCCUGGAACAGAUCCUGCACUAGAACCUUCAAAGAGAGCAUGGUCCUGCUGACAUGUUGAUUUUGGACUUCUGGCCUCCAGAGCUGUGAGAAUAAAUUUCAGUUGUUUUAAGCCAUCCAGUUUUUGGUACCUUAUUAUGGCAGCCCUAGCAAACUAAUAUAGACUCCGAUAAGAAUUCAACUGAUAUAUGCCAUGAAAUUUAGUAUAUCAUCAGGACUGGGAGAAACUGGUAACUUUAUAGGUGAAUAUGAAAGAUGAUAGGGAUAACUG